ACUUGAGUAGCAAAACAAUCAAAUGCAA
rnacentral:tRNA from 1 species